GGGCCAUUGUUCAAUGGUAGAGCAUCUCCCUUGCAUGGAGAAGGUCUCAGGUUCAAUCCCCAGUGGUGGCA